GUGGAUUAGAUACCCCAGUAGUCCACGCCGUAAACGAUGUCGAUUUGGAGGCUGUGUCCUUGAGACGUGGCUUCCGGAGCUAACGCGUUAAAUCGACCGCCUGGGGAGUACGGCCGCAAGGUUAAAACUCAAAUGAAUUGACGGGGGCCCGCACAAGCGGUGGAGCAUGUGGUUUAAUUCGAUGCAACGCGAAGAACCUUACCUGGCCUUGACAUGUCUGGAAUCCUGUAGAGAUACGGGAGUGCCUUCGGGAAUCAGAACACAGGUGCUGCACGGCCGUCGACAACU
rnacentral:rRNA from 1 species